AGGACGAACGCUGGCGGCGUGCUUAACACAUGCAAGUCGAACGGGGUCCAUCCAGUGGCAACACCGGAGAAGACCCAGUGGCGAACGGGUGAGUAACACGUGAGGAACCUGCCCCGAAGACCGGGAUAACAGCGGGAAACCGCUGCUAAUACCGGAUACCCCCACCGGGUCACAUGGCCUGAUGAGGAAAUGGAUUCCGCUUCGGGAGGGCCUCGCGGCCUAUCAGCUUGUUGGUGAGGUGACGGCUCACCAAGGCGACGACGGGUAGCUGGUCUGAGAGGACGAUCAGCCACACUGGGACUGAGACACGGCCCAGACUCCUACGGGAGGCAGCAGUGGGGAAUCUUGCGCAAUGGGCGAAAGCCUGACGCAGCAACGCCGCGUGAGGGAUGAAGGCCUUCGGGUUGUAAACCUCUUUCGAGCAGGGACGAUAAUGACGGUACCUGCAGAGAAGCUCCGGCCAACUACGCGCCAGCAGCCGCGGU
rnacentral:rRNA from 1 species